CCCUCAUCAAACCCACAGAUUCACCAAGCGAUCCUGGCAAACACUGAUGGACCAUCUCCUACGUGUGGAAAUAGGAAACACGGCUGGCAAGUCUGGCGGGGCCGGGUGAAACCCACAGCCGGGGAAACCACCGCGGUUGCUGAGAUGCCAGGAUUGAAAUCAUACUUUGCACUAUUUUACCUGGAUUGGAGGAGCUGGUUCCCAAUUAUUCCAACUUGAAGUCCACAGUGAGGAAGCCGGACCAGGAGACUCCUGACUCAGGAAAGACCUCACUACGUCAAGACACUCAAGUCCGGUGGGUCCUUAAGCUGCCAGGGGCCAUGGCUUGUUUGAGGUGAUAAAUGUUAUGGAUUCUCUCUGAAGAAAAGUUAACAGGUGCUAAACGUUUCACCUAUAUAUAUUUUUUCAGGGGGUUUCAACCCAUCCACAAAAUUACUAGGAUCCACAGGCCCUUGGUGAGGAAGCUCUGUUUCGUUGCCAUCUCAUUUGUUACAUCAUCGGGACCGUCUGGGUACAGCUUUGAAUGUAGUAAAGAUAAGCGUCUGCUUGGACAAUUUUAUUAUGGUCACCAUCAAGCGAAGGUCCGCAAAGAAAAGAAAACGUACGAUAUAACUGAGCCCGAUUGAGUUCACACAAUCUCUUUCUUGAGGACCGUGCCUUUGAUGUAUGCCAUUGCAAUUUUGGUCCAAGCUCGAUGCACCCAGCUCCGAGAGAGUGUUGGAGAAAUUCUCUCUCUCUCUCUCCCUCCCUCUAUCCCCACCAUUCGGCAGCGGCAAAUGGCCAAGGGUCACCUUGUUAAGAAUUCCCAGUUCUGGAAAAAUGGAACAUCACAGUUGUGAAGCUGUCAGUUAACAAUGAAAGUUUCCUUAUUUCAAGUAAGAUAAAGAACUCUCUUACCUAUGGUGCUUAUAGUCUAGGGUUUGGGGGAAUUGAAAUUAAAAAAUAAAUAGCGACAAAUACACCCUUAGAUACGAUGACACCCUUGACAACUCCAUUAUAAUUUGGCGGGAAUUAAGGGUUGGACCCACAAGAGUUUACUUUUCAGGUUAGACAGAAGCACAUUUCAGGUCUCCCCGAAUACCACUUUAACAAAGGCCACCUUUUGCAUGUUUUCGCUUGAUUUCUCUACUUCUGUACCACAGGCUUUGCAAAAUUAAUUUGCUAUACAGAAACAUUGUAAGUCACUGUCCCACUAAACCAUGGUUGUUCUCCAUUUUAGUAUCAUUAUUGUUACGUCCAGUUAAACGGGCGAGAGAGAGAGAAGAAAGGGGAAGGGUGAAGG